UUAGGAUCAGGUUUAGAGAAGAAGC
rnacentral:piRNA from 1 species